rnacentral:rRNA from 1 species
UCGAGAAUCUUCGGCAAUGGGCGAAAGCCUGACCGAGCGAUGCCGCGUGCGGGAUGAAGGCCUUCGGGUUGUAAACCGCUGUCGUAGGGGAGAAAGGGUCGUUGAAGAAACGACUUUGAUCUAUCCUAGGAGGAAGUCCGGGCUAAGUUCGUGCCAGCAGCCGCGGUAACACGAACCGGACAAACGUUAUUCGGAAUUACUGGGCUUAAAGGGUGCGUAGGCGGUGCGGUAAGUGCGGUGUGAAAUCCCACGGCUCAACCGUGGAAUUGCGCUGCAUACUGCCGUGCUAGAGGGAGACAGGGGUAAGCGGAACUGAUGGUGGAGCGGUGAAAUGCGUUGAUAUCAUCAGGAACACCGGUGGCGAAAGCGGCUUACUGGGUCUCUUCUGACGCUGAGGCACGAAAGCUAGGGUAGCGAACGGGAUUAGAUACCCUAGUAGUCCCUGAGCGGGCUGGCAAGGCGCAU